UACGGAGGGGGCUAGCGUUGUUCGGAAUUACUGGGCGUAAAGCGCGCGUAGGCGGACCUGCAAGUCGGGGGUGAAAGCCCGAGGCUCAACCUCGGAACUGCCUUCGAUACUGCGGGUCUCGAGUCCGGGAGAGGUGAGUGGAAUUCCUAGUGUAGAGGUGAAAUUCGUAGAUAUUAGGAAGAACACCAGUUGGCGAAGGCGGCUCAGCUGGCCCGGUACUGACGCUGAGGCGCGAAAGCGUGGGGAGCAAACAGG
rnacentral:rRNA from 1 species